rnacentral:rRNA from 1 species
UGGGGAAUAUUGCACAAUGGGGGAAACCCUGAUGCAGCGACGCCGCGUGAGCGAAGAAGGCUUUCGAGUCGUAAAGCUCUGUCCUAUGAGAAGAUAAUGACGGUAUCAUAGGAGGAAGCCCUGGCUAAAUACGUGCCAGCAGCCGCGGUAAUACGUAUGGGGCGAGCGUUGUCCGGAAUUAUUGGGCGUAAAGGGUACGUAGGCGGUUUUUUAAGUCAGGUGUCAAAGCGUGGAGCUUAACUCCAUUAAGCACUUGAAACUGAAAGACUUGAGUGAAGUAGAGGAAAGUGGAAUUCCUAGUGUAGCGGUGAAAUGCGUAGAUAUUAGGAGGAAUACCGGUGGCGAAGGCGACUUUCUGGACUUUUACUGACGCUCAGGUACGAAAGCGUGGGGAGCAAACAGG